GCUGUAGCUCAGUGCUAGAGCGCAUCACAUGGCACACAGAAGGUCCUGGGUUCAAAUCUCGGCAUCUCCA